rnacentral:rRNA from 1 species
CCUACGGGAAGCAGCAGUGGGGAAUAUUGGACAAUGGGCGAAAGCCUGAUCCAGCCAUGCCGCGUGUGUGAAGAAGGCCUUCGGGUUGUAAAGCACUUUCAGUGGGGAAGAAAGCCUUGGGGCUAAUACCCUCGAGGAAGGACAUCACCCACAGAAGAAGCACCGGCUAACUCCGUGCCAGCAGCCGCGGUAAUACGGAGGGUGCGAGCGUUAAUCGGAAUUACUGGGCGUAAAGCGCGCGUAGGCGGUCUGAUAAGCCGGUUGUGAAAGCCCCGGGCUCAACCUGGGAACGGCAUCCGGAACUGUCAGGCUAGAGUGCAGGAGAGGAAGGUAGAAUUCCCGGUGUAGCGGUGAAAUGCGUAGAGAUCGGGAGGAAUACCAGUGGCGAAGGCGGCCUUCUGGACUGACACUGACGCUGAGGUGCGAAAGCGUGGGUAGCAAACAGGAUUAGAUACCCCUGUAGUC